GGUUCCACGCUGGAACGACGUACACCUGCUGCUCGUCUGGUCUGAUCGCUCAUGAUCGCAUUUCGUGCACAAAAUCUGUGAUUGUAUUUGUGAGAUUUUAGAAUUUGGUACAUCAGGCUAAAAUCGGUUCAUACACACAAAUAUAUAAUUGUUAAAUUU